rnacentral:rRNA from 1 species
GAUCAUGGCUCCAGGAGUUAACGCUGGCGGCGUGCAUAACACAUUCAAGUCGAACGGAGAGAGGCAGCUUCGGCUGCGUCAAUCAGUGGCGGACGGGUGAGUAACGCGUGAGUAACCUGCCUGUAAGAGGGGGAUAACACCUGGAAACGGGUGCUAAUACCGCAUAAAUCAUAGUUGUCGCAUGGCAGCGAUGUAAAAGAGGAAUUGCUUACAGAUGGACUCGCGU